rnacentral:sRNA from 1 species
GACACAGACAUUAGGCGUUGCCCAAAUAUCUCCCAAGGAAGAGGUGAUUGGACUACAUGGUUUUUACACCUAUAAAGGGUUGUAAAAUAAACCAAAGAGGAAGAUGAGGCAGAAACCUCAUGGAGCCCACAAAGCUGAAAAUAUUUAAGUAUCUGUCCCUUGGUAGAAAAAAAUUGCUAAGGACACUGUGUAACAAAGCCCCGGCCAACAACCAGAAGGCAUUUGGGGGUCACCUGCUGCCUUCCUAUUUCAAGGAGAGACGCCAAGGUAAUUUUGACCCAGAGGAGGAAUGAUGUAGCCACCUCCUAACCUUCCCUUCUUGAACCCCCAGGUCCCCUCUUGCUGUUGGCUGCACAUCAGAAAGGCUAUGAUGGGAAUGAAGGUGAAAACUUGGAGAUUUCACUUCAGUCGUUGCUUCUGCCUGCAAGAUCAUCCUUUAAAAGUAGAGAAGCUGCUCUGUGUGGUGGUUAACUCCAAGAGGCAGAACUCGUUCUAGAAGGAAAUGGAUGCAAGCAGCUCCGGAGGCCCCAAACUCAUGCUUCCUGUGGUCUAGCCCAGGGAAGCCCUUCCGUGGGGGCCCCG